rnacentral:rRNA from 1 species
CAGCCGCCGCGGUAAUACGGAGGGAGCUAGCGUUGUUCGGAAUUACUGGGCGUAAAGCGCGCGUAGGCGGUUACUCAAGUCAGAGGUGAAAGCCCGGGGCUCAACCCCGGAACUGCCUUUGAAACUAGGUGACUAGAAUCUUGGAGAGGUCAGUGGAAUUCCGAGUGUAGAGGUGAAAUUCGUAGAUAUUCGGAAGAACACCAGUGGCGAAGGCGACUGACUGGACAAGUAUUGACGCUGAGGUGCGAAAGCGUGGGGAGCAAACAGGAUUAGAUACCCGCGUAGUCCCUGUCUCUUAUAA